rnacentral:rRNA from 1 species
GACGAACGCUGGCGGUGUGCUUCACACAUGCAAGUCGAACGAGGUAGCAAUACCUAGUGGCGGACGGGUGAGUAACGCGUGGGAAUCUGCCUUUAGAUGGGGGAUAACGGGUCGAAAGACUCGCUAAUACCGCAUAUGACGAAAGUUGAAAGGAGUAAUCCGUCUAAAGAUGAGCCCGCGUCCGAUUAGCUAGUUGGUAGAGUAAAAGCCUACCAAGGCGACGAUCGGUAGCUGGUCUGAGAGGAUGAUCAGCCAACAAAUGGGACUGAGACACGGCCCAUACUCCUACGGGAGGCAGCAGUGGGAAUUUACGCAAUGGGCGAAAGCCUGACGUAGCGACACCGCGUGAGCGAAGAAGCCCCUUGGGGUGUAAAGCUCUGUCAGCUGGACGAAAAAAAUGACGGUACCAGCAGAGGAAGCAUCGGCUAACUACGUGCCAGCAGCCGCGGUAAAGUAGUCG